CCUGGGUGGCUCAGUUGGUUGAGCAGCUGCCUUCAGCUCAGGUCAUGAUCCCAGCAUCCUGGGAUCGAGUCCCACAUCGGGCUCCUUGCUCAGCAGGGAGCCUGCUUCUCCCUCUGCCUCUGCCUGCCAUUCUGUCUGCCUGUGCUCACUCUCUUCCCCCCCCUCUCUCUGAUAAAUAAAUAAAAUCUUAAAAAAAAAUUACCUAUGAUUUGUACUGACAAAAAUCACAGAUACCACUAAUAUUAUGUUUUGGCCUACAUUCAUAAUUGAAAGGAAAUGCUAUUUCAGAAGUCUGGAAAAAAUAAAAGGUAUAAUUUAUUUCCCAUCCAGUAUACAGACUUCCUGAAAUGUACCCAUGGACAAUAUGGACCCCAGGUUAAGAAAUCAUGGUAAUUAGAGAUGGGUAGAGCUCUCUGUGAGAGGUGUGAAGACAUAGGGAAGUCCGGUAACAGGAAUUUGGGCUCCAGAGAGCACAGUGGAAGUAGGAAGGACUCUGGGAGUUGGGGUCAAGGAAGAAGAGUCAUGAAUCAUGGGACAUUAUGGAGACACAGAUGAGCUCUGUGUUUUGAGAAGUGACCAAGGAUGAGAGCACAGUUGGAGUUAGCUAAUGUUUUUGGGGGUCUCUGCAAGUGAGCUCUCCUGCAUCACUGGAGGCUUGGCUCAGAAAUCCAAAUGAGUGGUUAGAACUAACAGCUGCAUUGCCUUAGUAAUCCUUGUUUGGGGCCACCUGGCUGACUCAAUAGAGCAACCCUGAGACUCUUGACCUCAGGGUUGUGCGUUCAAGCCCCACAAUGGGUGUAGAGAUUAAAACCCAAAAACAAAAACUGAAUUUCUUGUUUGGAUGUGGAGGGGACAGAGUUAGUUGGAGACAGGAGCCCCUCUGGGUGCAGGCAGGGGUGAGGUGGGAUUUCAGUGCUGAUGAAGCCUGAGGCUUUUGAGAUAAUAUUUUAAUAUGAGGAUAUUAAACAUCUGCAUUUAAUAUACUUUUUCACAGAGUUCAAGAUUUGUUAGAAACUUGAUGGGCCAUGAAAUAUAUAAUGGUGCAUUCCACAGAUAGUCCUUUUGAUAGAAUCCUUGAAGGAUGGUAUUAACCCCCUCCUGAAACACUGCUAUUAAAAUACUCCUGAAGUACAGCCAGGCCAGGCCAUGUGGGGACAGCUCCUUAGACUGGGCCACCAAAACCCAUUAGUUGUAAUUUCCAUAUAGUAUUUCAAUGAAGUGGGGAUUUUAUAGGCAGACAGACCACAUUGUAGCUACUGUAUUGUUUUCAGAUGUCUUCUGUCUAUAUUUUCCUGUCAGGUAACAUUAAUCAGUCAUUAAUGAUGCAAAGAACAUGUAUGGAAGUCCUGAGAGAGAACCAAAUAUAUGGAACUAACAAAAUGGUUCCAUACCGAGAUUCAAAGUUAACCCAUCUGUUCAAGAACUACUUUGAUGGGGAAGCAAGCCACAGGAUUUGCAGAAGUGACCCAAGAAGUUGAAGUGGCAAGACCAGUGGACAAGGCAAUAUGUGGUUUGACGCCUGGAAGGAGACACCAAAACCAGGCUUGGGGAGGACCAGUUGGAGAUGGUAAUAUUUGUGCCACAACAUGUGCAUGCUGAUGUCUGUCAGUCUCUCUCCUUAAGAUUGAUUUCACAGUAGAGAACUACUUCCCUUCCUCUCAAGAACCAAGUGCAAAGAAAAGGAAAAAAAACAAAAAAACAAAAACCAAAGUAUAAAUGAGUCUUUUUUUGUUACAUACUAUAACUUAUUUUCCCCACUUUUUUUUUUAAACUCAUUUUUAAGGAGGUAUGAUUGGGACAACUCAAGAAAGCACAUGGCUCACUGAACUGGGGGGUUCUAAUCACAAGUGUAUCAACUUGUUUAAGUAAGCUUUCUCUCCUGUGUAACUUCUUAUAAUUUUUUAUAAUUCAACGCAGAACCACUUGUUACAGAAGUGGUUUUACAGAGUUUUCCACUUCUGCUGUCCUGUGAACUUUUAGAUAUCAACGAUGAGCAGACUCUUCCCAGACCGAUUGAGGCAUUAGAGAAAUGACAUCACUUAUGGCAGAUGAUGAUCAAUGAAUUUCACAAACAAUUUAAGGGCCAAAAGCGGUCUGCAAUCAUUUCAACUACAGAAAUUUUAACAAAUUUGAGUUCUUGGGGGAGAUCUUUUUUUUUUUUUUUAAAUCAAUCAAUCAAUUAAUUAAUUAAUUAGACAGAGAUCAGAAGUAGGCAGACAGGCAGUCAGAGGGGGGGGGGGGGGGAUGCAGGCUCCCCGCCGAGCGGAGAGCCAGAUGCGGGGCUCCUUCCUGGACCCUGAGAUGAUGACCUGAGCUGAAGGCAGAAGCCUGACCCACUGAGCCAGCCAGGCGCCCCCUGGUGGGGCAGAUCUUAAGGAAGGAUUAUCUGUUUCUGCACUUUGUAGUCCUGAAAGGACUGUUAAAUUAGACUGACAAGGAACUUUCCCACAGCUCGUAAAACAGAAGAAACAGGUAUGUGUGUAUUCUCUCCCUUUUUUAAAUCUACAGAAAUAGACACAAGGGAAUAAUAGCUACUUUGCUUUUAGUUCCUACUAGUUACUUGGAAGGCACUUCAUAAAUAUUACAUCUUAAAAAUGUCUUUGGGCAAAUGAUUUCAUCUUCCAUUUCUUGGCCUCCCUAUCUGCAAAAUGAGGAUUUUAACUGUUCUUACCUCAGAGGGUGUUGUGGCAAUGAGAUAAUAUGUGAGAAUCAUGUAGAACAGUGAAUAGCCUGGUACUUACAAAUGCUAAGUAGGUCUAUGGUUUUUAUCAUCAUCAAUUCAUUUGAAUCUUCAGAGGAAAGGUGUGAGAUAAGUGGAAUCUAUAUCUCCAUUUUGAAAGGAAGAAAUGUGCUCAGAAAAACUGUCAUUUAACUAGUACUUGGUGUUCCAGGGAUUUCAAGUUGCAUCCAGCUGAUCCUAAAUCUGUUAUUUCUGUUUUUGCAGUUGUUUUGAACCAAAUUACUUACCUGUAAGAGCUGACAAGGGAAUGCCGUAGCGCAGAAUGAAAGACUCUCCUUUUCCGUAAAAACUAGCUUUUCUAGGAAUAUCUCUCAUAGAUUUAGAAACCAAACUCUUGAUUUCUUUCUUGACUUGUUUUCUGCUGCAGGCUGUCAUGAUUUGCUGAAUAGCUAUAUACUGGUUAAUAAAAGUUGAUUUCACUGGUUAUUUUGGAAUUGGGGUAAACUUGGCCUGCGUGCUUUGUUUCCACUAUUACGUUUAAAGCAUUAAGAAUUUGACAGUGCUGUUUUAAAUAAAGAAAACUACAUUCAAGGAAAACUGCAUGAAAAAGAAAGGGUGAUCUCAGGACAGAAAUUGGAAAUAGAAUGACUGGAGAAGAAAAACAAAACUUGAGAGUAUAAGGUUUGUUUUGGCAUGAUUUAGUGGAUGUGCAUGCUGGCUGGUUAGCACUGCUCUCUAACCUAGCUGUUCGCCCUCCCAGCCUUUCACUACUGCUUACUGGGGGAGAGGCAGCCCCAGCUCCCUACACCUCACCCUAGAAGAGAAGGGAUGUGAGUGAAGAGCUUUAGAAGGGUAAUGUACUCUUUAAUUUUCAAAGGUAGGCUUUAGCAGUUGAAGAGAAUGUUCUUGAACCAAACAAGUGAGUUUCUAGAGGGCUUUCAUGAGUUUAGCUCUGGUUACAGCUUGCUUUUUGACUUAGGAUGAUAGGUUUGUUUUCUCUAUAUCCUUUAAAGGGUACCCAUUCCUUCUGGACAGAAGCUCAUUGCAACCAAUAUAGUGUUCUCUCUUCUGAAAACAGCCUAAAAAACAAAAUUCAGGGCAAAUUUUAGGGGAAAAUCAUUAUCACAUGAAGUCAAUUAAGUUUUGUCUUUUUCUGUGAGGCCCUUGUUUAGAAGUUCUCACUUCUAGGCAUGGAAGUAGGAAUUCAGAUAACAUUGUAGAGGGAACUGCUUUCUCCAUGAUUUUUCUUCCCACAGCUAUACCUGUGAGCAAACCACCAAAGUAGUCAGUUCACAGCUACGUGCAGUGUUUACAAGCCAGAUCCUGAACAGAGUGGUCUGCCUUCCCAGAAUGAUAUUUUAGAGAAGACAACUACAAUCUAUGAAGACGACAAGCGUACUUUGCAACAGGAACUCGAGACUCAGAACCAGUAACUUUAGCAGCAGUUUUCUGACAAGCACAGACUAGAAGCCAGGCUACAAGCAAGGCAUGGUGACAACCAACCAUUAAGUGGGAGAAAGAAUGCGAGCACUGGGUGGCAGCCAAGCAGCUGGAGAUGCAAAAUAAACUCUGGGUCAAAGAUGAGAAACUGAAACAACUGAAGGCUACUGUUACUGAACCCAAAGCCAAAAAGCCAGAGAGACCCUCCCAGGAGUGGGACCAGGGAAAAAGCCACUCAAAGAGCUGUCUCUCUGUCACCAGUACCUAACGCACCACCAGUUCACCUCUGCCACAGACGAUCUCCCUCUGCAGGAGACAGAUGGGUAGAUCAUAAGCCUGCCCCUAACGUGCAAACUGAGAGAUUCAUGCAGCCACAGGUCCGUCCUGCCAUCACAGUAUCUGCUGCAAAUGAAAAGGCACUAGCUAAGUGUGAGAAGUACAUGCUGACCCCCCAGGAACCAGUCUCCAACGAGGAGAUUGAAACUAAACUAAUCAAGGCAAAAACAAAUUGACAGAGGACAAAAAACAUACAGAAAGUCAGCUUUGCAAAAAAACCACUUACUCUUCUCCUCCUUUGAUGACUCACAGGCAGUGUCAACAAAGAUGAAUGGGUAUUGAUAGAACCUUUUUGUCUGUUAGAAAACUAAAGGAACUGCUCAGGCUGUAAAUCUGCUAAACUCUGACUAAGUCAGCUGCUCUCUAGUGAAUGAGGCUCAGGUCCUCAGGAUUCUGUUCAAGGAAUUCCAAAUCUAUAACAUACUGUAGAGUUAGUUUCAGCCACUACUUAAGAAGCAGAUCCAAAGAAAUACCAUUUGUCAGUUCCAGAUAAGAAGCCCAAGUUAUGGGGUGCCUGGGUGGGUCAGUGGGUUAAAGCCUCUGCCUUCGGCUCAGGUCAUGAUCCCAGGGUUCUGGGAUAGAGCCCACAUCGGGCUCUCUGCUCAGCGGGGAGCCUGCUUCCUCCUCUCUCUCUGCCUGCUUCUCUGCCUACUUGUGAUCUCUGUCAAAUAAAUAAAUCUUUAAAAAAAAAAAAAAGCCCACGUUAAAAUGUGAUCUAUCAACAUUUUAUCACUGAGCUACCCAGAUCCCUUUCCCUUCCCUAGCCUAUAGAAAAAUUACCCUUUGAUCAGAGUCAGUGAAUAAUCAGAGAAAAGCCAAUUAGAAAAAAUUUAGAGGAUGGUUCUUAAUUAUAACCAGAGUUACAAAUAAGACUG